UUUAGGAUGUAUUCCUACAAGUGGAACUGCUAGGCCAUAAGAGUAGGCACUUCACAUACUGACAAAAUAGCACUGCUAAUUUGCCCUCCAGGGCUACUGCCAGUUUUCCAAAAGACCUACGAUAAUACAGACUAAUUAACUCCAAGCUUUUGCCUUUGGCCAGAAUUACAGCAAUUCCGAACCACCACGUUAGUUGUUGACACUUGCUGACAGGAAGCUAACUGGCUCUCAGGUUUGGGAUCAGUAUGAAAGAAGGAAACAAGUUAGUCAUUUAAAACCUGUAAACUUUUGUCCGGGGCCCAAAUACUUAAAACCUGGUGACCCAUGAGGGUUUCUAAUAGUGAAAGCAUUGGGGAUGACUGGACCCUAGCGUAUGGCAUGGGCUCAGGACAGAAUAUGUACCGAAACUACUGCCCCUUUCUCAAUUCUACAGAUGGGACACUGCAGCCCUGUCAGUGUCUGCACCCCCAAGUCUCCUGACUCAAAGUCCAGGCUGCUGCCCCAACUUUGUGCCACUCAGAGGAAGGCCACCCACCAGCCCCACCCCGCCCUGCCUGGGCAGGCGCCGUCCACCUACAGAGAGCCCUGACGGUGGGCCGAGGCCCUACGGAAAAGACCUCAAAUAUACCCGUCCUGAGCGCAGCCUCCAGACGCCAGGGGGCGCGCUCUCCUCCCAGGCCGCGGCCCCGCCCCCGGAGCCGUUGGCGUUUGAAUCUCCAGCGGGCUGAGACCGGAAGUGUUGACCCUCAAGCCGGUAUGGAGAGCCUAGGUCCCGGUGCCCGGUGCCCGGUGCAAGAGCAGCGUGCUCGUUGGGAGCGGAAACGCGCCUGCACCGCCUGGGAGCUGCUGGAGACUGAGAGGCGCUACCACGAACAGCUGGGGCUGGUGGCCACGUACUUCGUGGGGAUUCUGAGAGCCAAGGGCACCCUGCGACCACCAGAGCGCCAGGCCCUGUUUGGGCCCUGGGAACUCAUUUACGGCGCUAGUCAAGAGCUGCUUCCCUACCUCGAAGGAGGGCGCUGGGGACAGGGUCUGGAGGGCUUCUGCCCCCACCUGAAGCUCUAUACCCAAUACGCUGCCAACGCUGAGAGGUCCCGGACCACCCUGCAGGAGCAACUAAAGAACAAACGGUUCCGGAAGUUUGUGCAACUUCAGGAAGGCCGCCCUGAGUUUGGGGGCCUUCAACUCCAAGACCUCCUCCCUCUGCCUCUGCAGAGGCUCCAACAGUAUGAGAAUCUUGCUGUUGCUUUGGCUGAAAACACAGGUCCUAACAGCCCUGACCACGAACAGCUCACAAGGGCUGCCCGGCUGAUAAGUGAGACUGCUCAGAGAGUCCACACCAUUGGUCAGAAACAGAAGAAUGACCAGCACCUCCAGCGUGUCCAGGCUCUGCUCAGUGGACGGCAGGCAAAGGGGCUUACCUCAGGUCGCUGGUUCCUACGCCAGGGCUGGCUGUUGGUGGUGCCUCCCCGGGGGGAGCCUCGGCCUCGAAUGUUCUUCCUCUUCUCUGAUGCACUCCUCAUGGCCAAGCCUCGACCCCCAUUGCACCUGCUGCAGAGUGGCACCUUUGCCUGCCAGGCUCUCUACCCUAUGGCUGAGUGUCAACUCCACAGGGUCUUUGGCCACUCAGGAGGCCCUUGUGGUGGACUGCUCAGUCAAGGCCUUCAGCUUAUGCCUGGAUCUUUCUGAGCCAAUGCGCUAAGAAGCGGUCUCUCCCUAGCUGUCCUUUCCACAUGAGAAGCUACUGCUUAUGUCCACAGACCAGGAGGAGCUGUUGGGCUGGUACCACAGUCUGACUCUGGCCAUCAGCAACCAGAAGAACUAGAGGAAUCUGACAAAUUCCAGAGUCCAGGAUGCCUCAGGGAUUAGGUCAGCGUCUGGAAUACAAAGAAAUCUUCUCCAGUACUAACACAGACUCUUCAUGGUCAUUUUGUGUCUGCCUGGGACCAAGACAGCCAGGUCACUUGAUCAGCUCUUAAGAAUCAGGACACCAAGUCUGACCCAACUGAACCUCUGCUGAACCAGUCCCUCCAACUCAGAGGAGGGGAUUUGGGACUGAGACCCUCGAUGCUGUGUCUGUGGACAGCCAUUUAUCACGGUUGCAGCUGUGCAACUGUGGCUAUUUUUAUGUUGUAUGUGGUUUCUAUAAUUUAUUUUCCCACUGGAUUUUAGUAAAGUCUUUUCCUUUUGGAGAA